rnacentral:lncRNA from 1 species
UCCCCCCUCGUUUUGCCAUCCCCAGACUGCGGCCAUCAUGAUGUUCAAACGAAUGCGUCGCCUAGGUUGCAGGGGGCCCCCUUCAUGCCCUGAAACAUGCCCUCCUAACCAUUCCGCUCCACCACGUUUUCCCCCUUUCCCCCCUGGUUUUGCCAUCCCCUGACUGCGGCCAUGGUGACGUUCAAACGAAGUCAGAAGUAGGCUGGGCAGGGAGGGUGUGCACAUGGGAUGUGCCUGGCAUGCGCCUUGAUGGGCCAGCAGCCUUGUACAGGCUGUGCAUCCCAUCUGGUAGUGCUGGGUUGACCAGGUGUGCGUGGUGCAGGUGGCGAGCCAGCGCCUCCAUACAGGUGUAUGUUCCUCUGCCCCUGCAUUCUGGCAUCCUGUUGUUGUUGUUGGAGUAGUUGCACUGUGUGGCUGUAAUGUGUCAGAAGUAGGCUGGGCAGGGAGGGUGUGCGCAUGGGAUGUGCCUGGCAUGCGCCUUGAUGGGCCAGCAGCCUUGUACAGGCUGUGCACCCCAUCUGGUAGUGCUGGGUUGACCAGGUGUGCGUGGUGCAGGUGGCGAGCCAGCACCUCCAUACAGGUGUAUGUUCCUCUGCCCCUGCAUUCUGGCAUCCUGUUGUUGUUGGAGUGGUUGCACUGUGUGGCUGUAAUGUGCGAGGAAAGUGACAGGAGCAUGUGCAGCAACUGAGAUCUGUCCUGUCAUGUUUGCAGGUAUGCAGACAUUCGUUGGCAUGAUGUUGAGAGUGUCCAACCAGGUGUAUGCUUUGUGGCCGCCACCCAGCUGGCUGAAGCCAUCUACACCAUGACUGCAAAGAUCUUU